rfam:Myotis davidii contig167466, whole genome shotgun sequence.
AGCCCUGCAGAGAGAGAGGCAGGGUCUGAUCUGCAGCCUCUGUGGCAGCUUUUGACCAGCUGUUUCCUCUCUCUUUCUCUUCG